ACUCCUCUGCUUGUACCUGCAGAAGUAGAUUGAUAAACGUUAUGGGUUUUAUGGAAUGUCCCAUCGUCUCCUUCUAGCUCUGGAACUUUAAUGUCUUCCAAUCGACAUAGCUCUGCACACUGCUGAGUUAGCUGAUUUGUAGCUAUAGACUUCAGUUUAUCUUCAUUAGUCUUUAGCUUUUCUAUCUCAUUACCCAUACUGUCCAC
rnacentral:lncRNA from 1 species